UGGGGGUUAUGCAGCCUCCCCGUCUCAAGACGCCGGCGUCCAAGGUCUGC
rfam:Rugosibacter aromaticivorans strain Ca6, complete genome.